rnacentral:rRNA from 1 species
AUUUCUAAGACAACUAGGAUGUUGGCUUAGAAGCAGCCACUCAUUAAAAGAGUGCGUAAUAGCUCACUAGUCAAGAGAUCCUGCGCCGAAAAUGUCCGGGGCUCAAACUUACCACCGAAGCUACGGGUUCAUACUUUGUAUGAGCGGUAGAGGAGCGUCGUAAUCGGGCUGAAGUCGUACCGUAAGGAGCGGUGGACUGAUUACGAGUGAGAAUGUUGGCAUUAGUAGCGAGAUGUGGGUGAGAAUCCCACAGGCCGAAUAUCUAAGGUUUCCUCAGGAAGGUUCGUCCGCUGAGGGUUAGUCGGGACCUAAGCCGAGGCCGAAAGGCGUAGGCGAUGGACAAUCGGUUGAUAUUCCGAUACCACUACUGAUCGUUAUUAUCGAUGGUGUGACGGAGAAGGAUAGAGUGUGCUAGCUAUUGGAUGCUAGUCUAAGCGUUUAGGGAGUUAGGAAAGGCAAAUCCGUCCUAACAAUUCUGAGGCGUGAUGGGGAAGGUUCUACGGAACCGAAGUACUUGAUUCCAUGCUUCCAAGAAAAGCAUCUAGAGAGAGAUGUAGUGCCCGUACCGCAAACCGACACAGGUAGAUGAGGAGAGAAUCCUAAGGCCGGCGGAAGAAUCACAGUUAAGGAACUAGGCAAAUUGACCCCGUAACUUAGGGAGAAGGGGUGCCUGUGAGAGCAGGCCGCAGAGAAUAGGCCCAAGCAACUGUUUAGCAAAAACACAGGUCUCUGCUAAAGCGUAAGCUGAUGUAUAGGGGCUGACGCCUGCCCGGUGCUGGAAGGUUAAGGGGAACACUUAGCGCAAGCGAAGGUGUGAACUUAAGCCCCAGUAAACGGCGGCCGUAACUAUAACGGUCCUAAGGUAGCGAAAUUCCUUGUCGGGUAAGUUCCGACCCGCACGAAUGGCGUAAUGAUUUGGGCACUGUCUCAACAGCAAAUCCGGCGAAAUUGUAGUGCAAGUGAAGAUGCUUGCUACCCGCGAUUGGACGGAAAGACCCCGUAGAGCUUUACUGUAGCUUAGCAUUGAAUUUCGGUAUUGUCUGUACAGGAUAGGUGGGAGACUGGGAAAUUAGGGCGUCAGCCUUAAUGGAGUCGUUGUUGGGAUACCACCCUGAUAGUAUUGAAGUUCUAACUGGAUGCCAUGAAACUGGUGACAGGACAUUGUUAGGUGGGCAGUUUGACUGGGGCGGUCGCCUCCUAAAAUGUAACGGAGGCGCCCAAAGGUUCCCUCAGAACGGUCGGAAAUCGUUCGUAGAGUGUAAAGGCAUAAGGGAGCCUGACUGCGAGACCUACAAGUCGAGCAGGGACGAAAGUCGGGCUUAGUGAUCCGGUGGUUCCGCAUGGAAGGGCCAUCGCUCAACGGAUAAAAGCUACCCUGGGGAUAACAGGCUUAUCUCCCCCAAGAGUCCACAUCGACGGGGAGGUUUGGCACCUCGAUGUCGGCUCGUCGCAUCCUGGGGCUGAAGUAGGUCCCAAGGGUUGGGCUGUUCGCCCAUUAAAGCGGCACGCGAGCUGGGUUCAGAACGUCGUGAGACAGUUCGGUCCCUAUCCGCCGCGGGCGUAGGAAAUUUGAGAGGAGCUGUCCUUAGUACGAGAGGACCGGGAUGGACUGACCUCUGGUGUACCAGUUGUUCCGCCAGGAGCACAGCUGGGUAGCUAAGUCGGGAAGGGAUAAACGCUGAAAGCAUCUAAGCGUGAAGCCCACCUCAAGAUGAGAUUUCCCAUAGCAUAAGCUAGUAAGACCCCUUGA